CACAUAAAGCAAACAUAAACUCAAUUCAAUUUUCAAACAGAAAUAAACACACACACAUAGACACACACACACACACACGUAGGCGACAUGCAGCUGCCGUUUCGAUUUAAAUGGCUGCUGUUAAUAGUGAGCGCGUUUAUUGCAACGGUAAGCGAGCGCACAUUUAACGGGCAAGCGACCCAUUAAGCGUUAAGCACUUCACAGAGUCGCUGCUGGGCGAGAUUUAUCACGGAGGAGCAACAGCCCAACGAGUACGACAAAUUAAACGCAACCAAAAGCUUCAUGCGGCAGCAUAUCAAUGAAACGCGCUCAACCGAUAACAAUAGACAGCAGUCCGAUAGCAGCGCCGCUCGCACAGUGGUGCACAUCAAGCGAAAACGUAGCGAUAAUGUGGGAGACGAGGACAUACCGUUCGACUUUCAUACAAAGCACAUGCCCUGCGACAUUGACGCAGCGGAGCUGAAGAAAUUCAUUGACACAAUGCCGCGCCAAUGCAUUUGGGUGUACAACCAACGCUACAAGGAUGAGGAUUCAUAUCGCAUGUACCGCAUCUAUCAGCUGGAGGCAUUCUUCUUCGGGCAGUUGUCGGAGCGCAUGACGCGUUUUGAGGUGGAUCCGCAUGAUUUUGAGAAUGUUAAUGUUAAUGUAUAACUCAGUGAGCUAUGAAAAUCAAAAUAUACAUAAUUUUAGUAACACACACACACUAAAGUAACAUUUUAAUUUCGUUUAACUAUGCAGCUGCCCACAAAUAUUGCUACACUGCUUGCACUGCAAAUGGGUUUGCUGCAAUGCGUCGUGAGCGGUCGAACGCUUGUGGAGCCGGCAAAGAACAGUACUAAGCUCCAGCGUCAAAAUAGCACUGAGCGCAUCCCUAAAUCGCUGGAGAGCUCAGUCGUGCGCCACAUUGUGCGCAGGAAGCGCGAAACUAGAGCCACCUUGCCCUACGAUUUCAAUACAAAACAUUUGCCUUGCGAUUUCGAUCAGAAUGGACGUUCCACCGCCGUUGAAACGUUUCCAAAUCACUGUAUAUGGGUUUGGAACAAUCGCUAUACACACGAGGGUUUCUAUAGGGUCUACAAAAUCUAUCAGGUGGAAGCUUUCUUCUUUGGGCAGUACGCUGAGCGCUUGAAGCGCUACGAGUGCGAUCCACAGGACUUUGAGUGAAAGCAAGAAAUUUAUAAAUCAUUUGAUUACUACAGCAAUUUAUGUCAGUUCAUAAAUAACAAUCACUUCACUUGUUCUCAUUUAUUCGUUGUUGUUAAAUUUACUUAUGAGUAGUUUUUGUUUUGUAUUUUUAGUUGCGCUCACGCCUUGGCUGCAAUUCGCCAAUGCGCGCACUUUGGCGUGCACGCAGCCCACAGCGUCCAACAGCAAUAGGAGCACAGCAAGUGUUGAGGAUGCACGGAACGCUACUGUGGCCGCAUUGCCGGCGCAGAUCACAAAGCCACUGGAGCAAGCGCGUGCUGUGCGGCAUAUAGUGAGACAUAGUCGUGAUACGAAGUCAUCGGUGCCAUUUGAUUUCAAUACGAGGCAUUUGCCUUGCGAUUUCGAUCAGAAUGGACGUCAUAAGGCGCUCGAUUCAUAUCCGAAUCAUUGCGUGUGGAUUUGGAAUAAUCGAUAUUCGAACGAGAAAAUGUAUCGAUUCUACAAAACCUAUCAGCUCGAGGCUUUCUUCUUUGGGCAGUACUAUGAGCGCCUAAAGCGCUUCGAGGUCGAUCCACACAGCUGGGAUUACACUAAUAUAGGCGUCUAGUCUAAAUUAAAUGUGCGCUUAGCAAAAAAGACAAAUUGAA